ACAAAGCGCUUGAAAAUGGAGAAAUGUGUUUUUGAUUGUUCCCUUAAUGUUAAUAGUCAUCCGAACUUGAUUUUUUAUAUUUUGUUUCCUGAUCCAAAGAGAAGAAAAUCGUGGCUUUAUGCUUUAUAUAGAACUGAUUCAUCUUGCUAAAACAAACUUAGGUCGCAAAACAUGUCUAAGUAUGCUCAAAACAUUUUGUAUCUGGUAAGUUUUGUAUUUGAAUCGUCAAAAUAUUUGAGCACUAAUUUUUCUUGAACUUAUUAAGUUUUUUAUUCAUUAAUAUUAUGUACAAAAAAGUCAUUGCAAUAAAUCUCAAGUUAUUAAAGUCAGUUAACAAAUAAGUACUGACAAUUCAUUGACUGGAGUGGAAGAUGUUAGUGUCUUGAACCAACAUGAAACAACAAGUUAACUUGGCUGAGAAUGAUGGUAGUUUAAAAAUAAUGCAGCAUUGGCUAGGAUUGUUCCUAGGUCACAAAAACAAUCUUACAAAUAGAGUUUCUGCUGUUGUCACUGGUUUUAGAGAGUACCUUUGUGAAUGAAGAUAAAAAGUCAUUUAUGUUAUUUUUU